AGGGACUGGGAGACAUGGGGACACAGACGUGCCCCCUUUUUGUGUAUGUUCGCCCCUUUCAGCAGAAUGCUUAUGUGAUUUGUGUCAGUGGCCCACCCUUUUAACCCAUCCAUAGACUUCCUGCUUUACUGGACACUUCUGUUAGGGUGUAUGGGUUUACUUGAAAGAUGAAAGUGUGAGAUUAGCAUAGUGAAUGUGUUUUCUCAUAGCUGCAUCCUAUGAGUUUCCCUCCAGCACCAUCUCCAUCAGAUACAUGAUGCUUCGGAGGUAGGACUAUUAGUCAAUAGGAUUUUGUAAUUAGGCCCAUCAUAAUUGUCAGCACCAGGCCCACUGGGCUCUUAAUCUGGC